AUUGAACGCUGGCGGCAGGCCUAACACAUGCAAGUCGAGCGAGCGGCGGACGGGUGAGUACUGUCUGGGAAACUGCCUGAUGGAGGGGGAUAACUACUGGAAACGGUAGCUAAUACCGCAUACCAUCAUCUGUGCCCACAUGGGAUUAGCUAGUAGGUGGGGUAACGGCUCACCUAGGCGACGCUCCCUAGCUGGUCUGAGAGGAUGACCAGCCACACUGGAACUGAGACACGUGCCAGACUCCUACGGGAGGCAGCAGUGGGGAAUAUUGCACAAUGGGCGCAAGCCUGAUGCAGACAUGCCGCGUGUGUGAAGAAGGCCUUCGGGUUGUAAAGCACUUUCAGCGGGGAGGCGUUACCCGCAGAAGAAGCACCGGCUAACUCCGUGCCAGCCGCCGCGGUAAUUC
rnacentral:rRNA from 1 species